GAAUUGGACGGCGAGGAUGACGUCGUUGAUGAUCCCGAGAAAGGCGACAGUGAAGUGGAGGAAGAUGGAGAUGAUGAUGAAGAUGAUGAUGACGACGAUGACGAUGAGGAUGAUGAUGAUGACGAUGAUGAGGUGGAUGAGCAGGAGGUGUUGCACACCGCUGGUGGACCGCCGGUUCAGUCGGUAGAUGAUGAAGAUGAAGAUGAGGAGGGGGAGGAUGAUGAGGAUGAUGAUGGCGAUGACGAUGACGACGACGAUGACGAUGAUGACGAAGGCGAUGAUGAGGAAGCUGAAGAGGUUAUUCACUUCUCAAUUUAACUAUGUGUUUCUGUUUAUUAAGCUCUAGAAUUCGAUUAAAUUGUGUUUUUCUUAAUUUAUGUGGUGAAUUAUUGUUUUUGAUUCGGUAUGAAAUUUUGCAGAUCUGGUGAAAAUAG
rnacentral:lncRNA from 1 species